rnacentral:rRNA from 1 species
AGAGAGAGACAUGCGCGCAUAUCAAUAAGCGGAGGAAAAGAAACUAACAAGGAUUCCCUUAGUAACGGCGAGUGAAGCGGGAAGAGCUCAAAUUUGAAAUCUUCAAGGUUUUACCUUGACGAAUUGUAGUUUAAAGAAGUGUUUUCUGUUGAAGUGUUUGGUAAAAGUUCUUUGGAAUAGGACAUCAUAGAGGGUGAGAAUCCCGUAUUUGACCAUUAUUUUCAGCUGUGUGAUACACUUUCAAAGAGUCGGAUUGUUUGGGAAUGCAGUCCAAAAUGGGUGGUAAAUUUCAUCUAAAGCUAAAUAUUGGCGAGAGACCGAUAGCGAACAAGUACCGUGAGGGAAAGAUGAAAAGAACUUUGAAAAGAGAGUUAAACAGUACGUGAAAUUGUCAAAAGGGAAGCGUUUGACACCAGUGUUGUUUUCUCGAAAAUCAAUUAAAAAAGGCAGGAUUUUGUGUUGUAUUGACUUUAUCAGCUUUCUGCACUCUUUUCUUGUCUUUUUUAAUGCACUUUUCGUUUAACAAGUCAACAUCAAUUUCUUUUGCUGUAAAAAAGCUUGAGGAAGGUGGCAUGAGAUUCGUCUUAAGUGUUUAUAGCCUCUUGCCUAUGCAGUCGGAGAGAUUGAGGUCUGCAGCGUAGAUCCUUCGGGGCUAAAUGCAUUUGUGCUAAGUUAUAGCAUUUUAUAGACAACUUGUUGACUAUGAUUUGUCUUGUAGCUUACUCGCUUAUGUUAUUUUACCUACGCUUAGGAUGUUGA